rnacentral:rRNA from 1 species
GGCGAACGGGUGAGUAAAGCAUCGGAACGUGCCCUGGAGUGGGGGAUAACGUAGCGAAAGUUACGCUAAUACCGCAUAUUCUGUGAGCAGGAAAGCAGGGGAUCGCAAGACCUUGCGCUCUGGGAGCGGCCGAUGUCGGAUUAGCUAGUUGGUGGGGUAAAGGCCUACCAAGGCGACGAUCCGUAGCGGGUCUGAGAGGAUGAUCCGCCACACUGGGACUGAGACACGGCCCAGACUCCUACGGGAGGCAGCAGUGGGGAAUUUUGGACAAUGGGCGCAAGCCUGAUCCAGCCAUGCCGCGUGAGUGAAGAAGGCCUUCGGGUUGUAAAGCUCUUUCGGUGGGGAAGAAAUUGCAUGGGUUAAUACCCUGUGUAGAUGACGGUACCUAAAGAAGAAGCACCGGCUAACUACGUGCCAGCAGCCGCGGUAAUACGUAGGGUGCGAGCGUUAAUCGGAAUUACUGGGCGUAAAGCGUGCGCAGGCGGUUUGGUAAGUCAGAUGUGAAAUCCCCGGGCUCAACCUGGGAACUGCAUUUGAGACUGCCAAGCUGGAGUUUGGCAGAGGGGGGUGGAAUUCCACGUGUAGCAGUGAAAUGCGUAGAGAUGUGGAGGAACACCGAUGGCGAAGGCAGCCCCCUGGGCCAAUACUGACGCUCAUGCACGAAAGCUGGGGAGCAAACAGGAUUAGAUACCCUGGUAGUCCACGCCCUAAACGAUGUCAACUAGGUGUUGGGAGGGUUAAACCUUUUAGUGCCGUAGCUAACGCGUGAAGUUGACCGCCUGGGGAGUACGGCCGCAAGGCUAAAACUCAAAGGAAUUGACGGGGACCCGCACAAGCGGUGGAUGAUGUGGAUUAAUUCGAUGCAACGCGAAAAACCUUACCUACCCUUGACAUGUCAGGAAUCCUGGAGAGAUCUGGGAGUGCUCGAAAGAGAGCCUGAACACAGGUGCUGCAUGGCUGUCGUCAGCUCGUGUCGUGAGAUGUUGGGUUAAGUCCCGCAACGAGCGCAACCCUUGUCAUUAAUUGCCAUCAUUCAGUUGGGCACUUUAAUGAGACUGCCGGUGACAAACCGGAGGAAGGUGGGGAUGACGUCAAGUCCUCAUGGCCCUUAUGGGUAGGACUUCACACGUCAUACAAUGGUCGGUUCAGAGGGUUGCCAACCCGCGAGGGGGAGCCAAUCUCAGAAAGCCGAUCGUAGUCCGGAUCGCAGUCUGCAACUCGACUGCGUGAAGUCGGAAUCGCUAGUAAUCGCGGAUCAGCAUGUCGCGGUGAAUACGUUCCCGGGUCUUGUACACACCGCCCGUCACACCAUGGGAGCGGGUUCUGCCAGAAGUAGUUAGCCUAACCGCAU